CUGAUUUUUAUAUUAAACAUCAUUCUAUACUCCACUCUAAUACAACACUUAAAGUAUAUAUUUCAGAUAUUGCUUCCAUAUAAAGAACAUUCUAGAACUAUAGUUCUAUAGAACCUAGUCUUUAUUAUGCUUAUGUAAAGAACUUGGAUUAAAAACUUCAGUGCACAUUCCGUAUGAGGAAAUUUAUUAAGUGUGGAGAGAGAAGGCAAAUUAUCACUUUUCUUUUCUCUGACCAUAUUGCCUACCCCACCUGAUCUUUGAGAUCCUUGAUUUCCCUUCUGGUUCCUUCUCAUAUCUAUGACACACAGAAUUUGGAGUACCUUAGGAUGUAGUCCUUGGACAUUUCCUCUCUCCUGUCUACACUCAUUCAGUAAGUGAUGUCAUUAGCAUCUUGACUUCGAACACCAUUUAUGGCUGAUCACCUAAAAGCACAUUUUAAGCCCUCUUGCCUGAAUUCCAAGCAUGCAUAGGCAAAUGCCCAUUCUUGAUGGUUUUAUAUUGUGUCACAUGUGCUAAGCUAGAACUGUGUUUACCAAAAUUCCCUCCUAGCACAUUUCAGGUUAGAGUUAGCCAAGUAAAGUUUUGUCUAAGAAUUGAAAACGGACUGAAAUAGCUGUUGUUAUGCUCUAAGGUAUAGGUAUGUCAUUGCUGUUGCAGCAUAACCACGUUGUUGCUACUCCACUGGGUCACCUUGCUGUUGUGCAAUAUCCAGAUCCCCAUCCCUUGGGUUGACAUUAGACCCUUUCUUUUAGCUUCUCCGAGUCUUAGUCUAGGAUUGUGUGCAUCCCUUGACAAGGGGCUUCAAUCUCUUUUUUAGGUCACAAUUAGAUUAGGGCAUUUGUCUUCUAAAAUUUAUUAUAUCCAAAACUAAGUUCUUGAUAUUCCUGCUGGCAUAAACUUACUUGCAUCACAUUCUUUCUUAACUCAUUUCAUCAAAACUUUGUCUUUCUUGUAGGUCAGGCCAAAAAUCUUGGAGUCAUCCUUGAUGUUCCAUUUACUCGCUUCCCAUGUCCUGUGCAUCAGAUUCAACCCUGUUUACCUACUUCCACUUCUACUUCACUCCAAGACACCAUCGUAUCUUGCCUGGAUAAUUGCAAAGUAAAGAGGAAGAUAAGAUGAAAAAAAGAAGUUAUCACUUUGCCCUUGAAUGGUCAGUAACUACCAGAGACACACUCCUACGCAAAACAAAAUAAAAUCAUUAAAUGACCCUCCAUUCUUCACAUCCUACCUACCUUUGUUGACUGCGCCAGAUAUUUAUACCAGUCUAUUUAUGCUGAAUAACCAGAAAUUUAAAAGAUUAAGUGUAUUGAAACAGAAGAAAAGUGGGACUUCUCUUCAUAGUAUUCAGUGGGUAAGGGAAAAUGAGUACUAAGUGUCCUUGGAAUCUAGGAAGGCAGACCCGAAGGAGAUGGUAAAAUGGAAAUGGGAUGCUAAAAUGAAGCUAAUGUAUUGAUCAUCUUUUAGCAGUCCAUGAAGCCCUAAUCCUUUACCAUAAAAAUCCUG
rnacentral:lncRNA from 1 species